GUAGGGGGCGAGCGUUGUCCGGAUUUAUUGGGCGUAAAGAGCUCGUAGGCGGUUCGAUAAGUCGGAUGUGAAAUCUCCACGCUCAACGUGGAGGGGCCAUUCGAUACUGUCGUGACUCGAGUCCGGUAGGGGAGUGUGGAAUUCCCGGUGUAGCGGUGAAAUGCGCAGAGAUCGGGAGGAACACCCGUAGCGAAGGCGGCACUCUGGGCCGGUACUGACGCUGAGGAGCGAAAGCGUGGGGAGCAAACAGGAUUAGAUACCCUGGUAGUCCACGCCAUAAACGAUGAGCACUAGGUGUCGCGGGUAUUGACCCCUGCGGUGCCGCCGCUAACGCAUUAAGUGCUCCGCCUGGGGACUACGGCCGCAGGGUUA
rnacentral:rRNA from 1 species